UUGACCUCGGAUCAGGUAGGGAUACCCGCUGAACUUAAGCAUAUCAAUAAGCGGAGGAAAAGAAACCAACAGGGAUUGCCUCAGUAACGGCGAGUGAAGCGGCAAGAGCUCAAAUUUGAAAGCUGGCCCCUUCGGG
rnacentral:rRNA from 1 species